AGCUUUGUGCAGUGGCAGUAUCGUAGCCAAUGAGGUUUAUCCGAGGCGCGAUUAUUGCUAAUUGAAAACUUUUCCCAAUACCCCGCCAUGACGACUUGAAAUACAGUCAGCAUUGGCAAGUUUUGACAGUCUCUACGGAGA
ensembl:snRNA U4 U4 spliceosomal RNA